CGACAGUGGGGAUGGAGCUAUCUUGCUCCAGGACAACUUCUUAUGAGGAUUCUGUGUGGCUGUUCCGAGUGCUUCACUGCUUCCCAGCUGAGGGACUGCUGCCAAGUUCUCAACUUCUAUGUCCCUCCUCUCCUCACCUGCACCUGCCCUGUAGGGUAAUUAUAAGGCUUCAGCGAGCUACGUCCUGGAGGUGCUCCCUGAAUGUUACCUGUGAGGAGGAGCAGUGGAGCAGGGGAAUGCAGAGGAAGAAGAGCUUAUGAACACUACAAGAAAGCACCCCAGGAGAGACCUCUCUCUGGGGGAGGAACAGUGAACCUGGCUUGCCUGCCUCGGAAAGAAACCCUGAAGGACGUUUUCCUUGUUAAGAUUGCUCUUGUUAAAAAGCUGUGCAGUCCUAAAAUGUUAUUGAACAAUAGCUUUUCACACAAAGGCUGUGUAGCCAACAGUCCCCUCUAACCUGCUGCAACUCCUUGGCUUCCAUCUCCUGCAGAGGCUGCAGGGCAGGAGCCCAGGGCUCUACUGUGGCCUCCUCGGCCUCACCAUCCUCACCAGCUUGGCUUCCAUUCCUUCUGAACAGUCUUCUCCCCUGGGUACUUCUAUUUCCCUGUCUGUUGGGAGGGCUAUAGGAAAAGUGACUUGUAAAACUUUUAGUUAAGACAUCUCUUUAGUGCCAAUUGUUUGUUGGUGCUGUGAUUGUCGAGUUUUGUCUAAAUUUUGUCUAAAGUUAGAUACUUUACUUGGGAACAUUGUCUGAUAUCUACAUCAGAAAAAGAUCCGCACAGGUUAUUUGCAAUCCACUCAAACCAAGAAAUUACCUGGAUAUAGUUGGUGACAAAAGUGAUAGUUGGUAUCAAGGAAUGGGGUUGUCAAAAUGUAUAGUGAAUGUGAAUCUUGCUGUUUGUGUUUUAACUUAUGGAAAUAAAUUUCCCCAAAACUUCUUGGGCUGCUCUUUAUCCCACUAGAUUGUGGGAUGUACAGCCAGGAGAUCACAGACUCUCAGGAUGCCUGGCAGCAAGUGGGGGGCCAGAAUUUCUGGCGGUGGAA
rnacentral:lncRNA from 10 species